GGAGCCUCCGCAGCGGCGCGCUCCCCACCGCGGCUCCGUGUCCCCGAGGUGCGCUCCCGCCAGCGAGCUGGGCUGCGGCGCCAUGCAAAGCACUUCCUCUGCCAGGCCCUUUUUUGCGAGCAGAAAGUAAUUUUUGCUUCCUUAAGAAAAUACAAGUGCAAAGCCCAGCCCGUGGCCGUGGUUACCGCUGCAGGAAGGGCUCACUUCACUCCCCUGGCCCCCUAGGUUUGGUUGGUACUAAGAAGUGCCUUUCCUGACGUCGCUGCUGCUUGGGACCGCUUCUAGAGCAGCCGCUGCUUUUGCCUUGCUUGCUGCCAGCUAGACUGCGACGACAGCGCUCCGCCGCUGCCAGCCCCGCGCCCGCCGGGAGGAGGGUCCGGCGCUGCUCCCCCGCCGCCGCUGCACUGUGCACUAAAGUGUGCCGCGAAGGUCAGAGCUCUGCUGCCCGAAAGCCGAGGAGAGGAGGAGAAAAGCCCCCAGCCUAAAGCCGGUGUCGGUCGUUGCUCUAAACUGCUGCAUCUGUCUAUGCCAAACUAAUCGAUCCCGGUUGCGCCGCAGAGCCCGCUGCGAGCCCGCUGCCCGGAGCCACCUGCCAGCCGCCGUCCCCGGGAGUCGCUGCCGGAGCCCGCCACGUUCCCAUGCUUGCGGCGGCCGCCCUCCGGACGGGAUGCUGAGCGCGCGGGGCUAGUCCCGGCCACGCUCCCGCCCCGCACCUGGCCGCGGCCCCUUCCCCAGCCCCGCUAACGGUGCCACGCUCUCAACUCGGUGACACGGCUCUUCCUCGAGAUUGCGGCCGCCCGCUUUUACACGCACUCGUUUUAAAAUAGGGAGCGGGGGAAAAAAAAAAAAGUGUUCUGGAGGUGGCACUUUGGUAAUUUCCAGUUUAUCAGUUCGGCUGCUCGUUUGCCCGUUUUUAUUGGAAAUUUUAACUACCUGUAAAAUCUAAAGAUGGCUGUUAGCGUCACACCGAUCCGGGACACAAAAUGGCUAACGCUGGAAGUGUGUAGGGAGUUCCAAAGGGGGACUUGCUCACGACCAGACACGGAAUGUAAAUUUGCACACCCAUCGAAAAGCUGCCAAGUUGAAAACGGACGCGUAAUCGCCUGCUUUGACUCAUUGAAAGGUCGAUGUUCAAGGGAAAACUGCAAAUAUCUGCACCCACCACCACACUUGAAAACGCAGCUGGAGAUCAAUGGCCGCAAUAACCUGAUCCAGCAGAAGAACAUGGCCAUGCUGGCCCAGCAGAUGCAGCUGGCCAAUGCCAUGAUGCCCGGAGCCCCGCUGCAGCCCGUGCCAAUGUUUUCCGUUGCACCGAGCUUAGCCACCAACGCGUCAGCCGCCUUCAACCCCUACCUGGGGCCCGUCUCCCCAGGCCUGGUCCCCGCUGAGAUCCUGCCCACGGCCCCGAUGCUGGUGACAGGAAACCCCGGCGUGCCGGUCCCUGCCGCCGCCGCCGCCGCUGCACAGAAGCUGAUGAGGACAGACAGGCUGGAGGUAUGUCGAGAGUACCAGCGUGGGAACUGCAACAGGGGAGAGAAUGACUGCCGGUUCGCUCACCCCGCCGACAGCGCCAUGAUCGACACCAACGACAACACCGUCACCGUCUGCAUGGAUUACAUCAAAGGGAGGUGCUCCCGGGAAAAGUGCAAAUAUUUUCACCCUCCUGCACACCUGCAAGCCAAGAUCAAGGCUGCCCAGUACCAGGUUAACCAAGCUGCAGCUGCCCAAGCAGCAGCGACCGCAGCUGCCAUGACUCAGUCGGCUGUCAAAUCACUGAAGCGACCCCUCGAGGCAACCUUUGACCUGGGAAUUCCUCAAGCUGUACUUCCCCCCUUACCAAAGAGGCCUGCGCUUGAAAAAACCAAUGGUGCCACCGCAGUCUUUAACACUGGUAUCUUCCAAUACCAGCAAGCUCUUGCCAACAUGCAGUUACAGCAGCAUACAGCCUUUCUCCCACCAGGCUCAAUAUUGUGCAUGACACCCGCUACAAGUGUUGUUCCCAUGGUGCACGGUGCUACGCCAGCCACUGUGUCUGCAGCAACAACAUCUGCCACAAGUGUUCCCUUCGCUGCAACAGCCACAGCCAACCAGGCUAAAGAUGUGGCCCUCCAUCUGCCCGGGCUGCUGUGGAAGGUCCUUGGUCUGUUCGACAGCCCUGCCCCUGAUGCUGCUCCAGCCGGGUGCCGCAGCCUGUCCUGCAGCAGCAGGAAAACAUGAUACCCAUAAUAUCUGCCGAACAUCUGACUAGCCACAAGUAUGUUACACAGAUGUAGACAUUUGGCCAUCAAACAAUGGCAUCGGCGGCGGAGAGGCCGGAUUGGGGUGGGAAGAGGCCGAGCUCAUUAGCCAUAGUGUAUGUAAAUACUGCCCAGCAGCACUGGGAACCCCUCAGCAGUGACAUCACACAUUGCAUGUUAACGAGACGAAGCGAGAGCGUGGGACUCCACUGCACACUGUUGCCUAUCUACUUUGUACAUUGAAUCGAUAUUUGUGCUGAGGUGAUUUAUUGUCCAGGCCCGCAGCAUCGGCCGCCUUGCCCGGGCGAUGCCCUGGGGCUGCUCCCCGCGUCGCCCGGAAAGACCCACGAUGCUGUAACCAGAAAUCUAUUAUGUAUUGGUACGUCUGUAGACCAAGAUAUAAUUUUUUAAAGUAAGUUUAUUUCUUUCAAGGUUUACAAAUAACAAAGGUGCACCUUGUAUUUAAAAUUGCCAUUAUAGACGAGAGCGUGCAUGCACAGUAAUUUUUUGUUUAAGAGUAAUAUUUUUAAUGUAAUAGAUUGUAAGAAACGAGAAGAGAGGAAUCUGACAGAGAUGAAUGUGCCAAGCAAAACCACAACUGUGUAUAUUUUAAAGCACAUCAAUGGCUUUAAGUACCACGUUGUUAAGGAUUCUCAUGAAGUGCCAUAGACUGUACAUCCAUCGGAGUAUUAUUUCCGCAGUGUUAUUUUCAGAACCACGUUUUCACUGACUCGAUGAGUACUGAUCAGUCAAAGGGCACCAUUCUGUUUCAAACCAAAGCUGUCUCAGAAAUGGCCAAUUGCUGCUCACAGCCGGUGGGCAGCACCAGAGAGAUGCUCCAGCUGUGCAUAACCCUUAUGGACAGCAUUAUCUAUCAACUCUCCCAAGGCGGUGUGUGUCAUAUUUAUGCGUAGUUACUGUAAAGGUGAUCUGCAAAGGGAAAAGCCAUUUCUGAGACACAGUAACAAAUGUUUGAGGAACUUCUUUUGCUCUAUUUAUAGCCUCUGUCUCGAGUCACAAGGACUAUAAAUGUUUUGCAGAGAUGGGUUUCACUUUAAUUCAUCAAGUCCCGCAUCCGCGGCGACUCUAAACAAAGACGCAGAAGCACUGACAGCAGAUGCAUGACAAACCAAAAUAGGACAAAUGAGACGUUAAUUAGUGUAGAAAUUGGGUGGGUUAAUACUCGGGUGAGUUUUAUAUGUGAUUUUUUUUUUGUUCAGAUUAACUGCUUAUAGCCUUAGAAAGCCUUUACAAAAUAAAAACAAACAAAUAGAUGUGCAUUCAAGUUCUAAGAAUGGAUUCAUCCAAAGGAAUUCCUUUUGUGGUUUGGAUGUUGCAGCCAGUAAAGGAUAUUUUUGCUCUGUUCAGCCAGGGGCUGCCUGGGGCCAGGCCCCGGGCGGGCAGGGAGGGAGAGGCGCGGGUUCGCUUGUAGAACUCGCCAUACUCCGAGUUUACCGCGAGUUUUUAUGCUUGAGAGAGAUGCUUUAUAGAUAAGAAUGAUGUGUUGAUUUUCCUGAUUGUACUGUACAUCUAUUAAAGCCUUAGAUUAUUACAUUACGGGUUAAAACCCAUACCAAUGUAAUUUCAAUCGUGUUAAGAAAGUAUAGGUGACUUCACAUGUUAUUGUAGUGACUUACCAUAGAGAAUUUACUUAUUUUUUUCUUGUUAAAAGUGUAGUUUUUAUUUCUUACAUUUAUUAGCUCGUUUUCAUUUUCUAUUACCAGUUGAUACCAUUUCAGUUCAUAGAAUUUUGUUUUAUUAGAGUUUACUGAUGACUUUUUCAAAAUACAAAAAAAAAAAAAAAGUAGUUUUCUUCAUAACAUACUCAGUUUGGAAUCUAUAUGUAGUGUCUUAUGAGUAUUCGUAUUAUUGUUAACUAAAUGAUUUCUAUUUUACUGAUCUAAUACGACAAUGUAAGAAUGUCAGUCAUUGUUAGUUCUUGUCUAGUUUUCAUUCAAAGAACAAAGAUCUUUUAUAUGGAUAUCUUAUAAUUAUAUAAUCAUUGCUAAGUAAGAAGUUAAGUUGUUGCUAUAGCAACAAUCCUGGCAGACAAUUGAGUAAUAUUUUGAUGAUUUAUUUUGUUUGUAAUUAGUUAUUAUGAGGAAAAAAAAUCUAGUUCCUAGAUAUUAGAAUAAAAUUUAUUUUCUACUGUAUCCAUUUCAAAUGUUAAAAUAUUGUUUAAAUAUUUUUUGAAAUCCCUGAAUAUCAGGCCUUGUUAUAAAUAAGCUGCAUAAUCAAUAGAUCAAGGGACUUUUUGUUGAUAAUCCAAAUACUCAAAGUUUACGUAACAAGAAUUCUAGUGUGUGUGUGCAAACUCUUGAGGGUUGAUUAUGCUGCAGUUGGGACGUCGAGAGCGAAGGUUGACUUUUUGCACUUCUGUAUAUAGUCAAAAAAGAGAGAAACCUGUAUAAUAGUAAGAUCUUAUUUUGAAUAAAAAUGUCUAUAAUUACAAGGAGUUUUGUUAAGGCUAAAUAAAAUGACAGGCUGAACAAAAUUGCUUGCAAAAGUGGCACAGAGUUAGCACUCCAUCCCCCUUCCAAAAAGUUGCUUUGCUUUAUGUGGACAGCUUGUAGUUUGCCAGGAUUUUUUCAGCUGGAAAGAUCUGCCAUCCUUCCGAGAUCUCAUGACUGACAGAAGCUCCACUGGGUCAAAUCUGCCUGAAAAUCAUUAAGAAACAAAAAAAAGGAAAAAAAAAAAAAAAAAAAAGAAAAAAAAAGCAGGUACUUCAGCCCAUCCAGGGAAUCAUGGCUCAGAUAUUCCGUACAUUAUUCAAAAUCUACUGCAUGUUUAAAGUAUCAAAAUAUAUUAAAGAUAUAUGCUAUUCAAACCAGUUUCUGACAAUUUCAGUGGUUUCUUGUUCACAAAAAAAGAUUCUUCAAAACGAAUACUGACAUUCACAGAGUUCAGCCAUGGCCAGGCAAAGGCACAGCGCCCGUAGCUGUAGGGUAGGGGAUUGUGUUCUCGCUGCGGCGCUCCUGUUCUUUUAGCAGGUGAGAACAGCCCGGGAGAUCUUCCCGGGCACGGCCAGCCUCGCAGGAGCCGCUCAUGCUGUGCGUGCCAGAGCUGGAGCAGGCGUGGGGCUGGGAGCUGACACCAAUCAGUGAUUAAUUACCCAACGAGCUGCGCUCGGCAGCCCGGGUCAUCUGCUGGAAGGACGGGCGCGCUCGGGUUUGCUCUUACGUAACCACAGACUUACUUUGCUUGUAGUUGCUCCAGUUACGUACUCUGUCCUGGGCUGCAAUUUGGGUUUAUGCUUAUUUUAUUAUUACUGCUAUAGUUGACCUUGCUGUAUGGAAAAAAUAAAGUGAAAUUGCCCUAAUAAAA